AUUCAGAGAGUGUUCGGAUCGAGGCGACGUGGGCGGUUCGCCGCCGACGACGUCGCGAGAAGUCCACUGAACCUUAUCAUUUAGAGGAAGGAGAAGUCGUAACAAGGUUUCCGUAGGUGAACCUGCGGAAGGAUCAUUG
rnacentral:rRNA from 1 species